GUCGUGCAUCCCCGUCGCCAUGGCGCGGAUGCUCGACGCGUGCUGCUACAGGGAAUCGAGGAGAGGAUAAGAAGGCCACCAGGAACCCUCGACGAACCCUAGCUCCCUUCGUUUCCCCCCUCGCGCCUUCUCCACCAAAUCGAGCCGCGCCCGAGACCAUAGUCGCCGCCGUCUUCGUCGAUCCCGCGGCCACCGGCCUCCUCUCACCGUGCCAAGGCGUCCAGGAGCCCCGCCAUCGUCAUCUCCUUCCUCUCCGCCGCUGGUUUGUCGUCAGGGCGCCAUCAAGCUCGCCAUCACCGGUCUUCUCCGUCGUAGCCGUCACAACCUCGCCGUCGAUUCGCCCAGCUCCGGUCCACCUCCGGCCUCCCCGACCGGAACUCCGAGCUCGCGACACCGAGACCGACGCCGCUGCUACCCAGUACGACUAUGGUGUUGACGACCCUCCUUCUCGGCUGAGCUUCCAG
rnacentral:rRNA from 1 species